rnacentral:tRNA from 1 species
GCCGCUGUGGUGGAACUGGUAGACACGUGGGACUCAAAAUCCCAUGAUAGCAAUAUCGUAAGGGUUCAAGUCCCUUUGGCGGCACCA